UAUUACGAAAGUCUGAUGGAGCAAUACAAAGGGAAAGAUGAAGGUCUUCUGAUUGUAAAGUUCUUUUAUUUAGGAAAAAAAGCGUGCUAGGAAAUGAGUGCGCCUUGAUGGUACUAAUUGAAUAAGUGACAGCUAACUAUGUGCCAGCAGCUGCGGUAAAACAUAGGUCACGAGCAUUAUCCGGAUUUAUUGGGCGUAAAGGAAGCGUAGGCGGGGAGGUUGAUCCAUUGUUAAAAGCAUUUGCUUAACAAAUGUGUGCAUUGGAGAUCGCCUCCCUAGAGUUAAUCAGAGGGUACUGGAAUUCAAUGUGUAGCGGUGGAAUGCGUAGAUAUAUUGAGGAACACCAGAGGCUAAGGCGAGUACCUAGGAUAUAACUGACGCUGAGGCUUGAAAGCGUGGGGAGCAAAUGGGAUUAGAUACCCCAGUAGUCCACGCCGUAAACGAUGAGCAUUGGGCAUUUGACAUCUGGUCGAGUGCUGUAGCUAACGCGUUAAAUGCUCCGCCUGGGUAGUAUAUAUGCAAAUAUGAAACUCAAAGAAAUUGACGGGGACCUGAACAAGUGGUGGAGCAUGUUGCUUAAUUCGAAAAAACACGAAAAACCAAACCAAGGCUUGCAAUCUAUUGC
rnacentral:rRNA from 1 species